rnacentral:rRNA from 1 species
CGGGUGAGUAAUACAUAAGUAACCUGCCCUAGACAGGGGGAUAACUGUUGGAAACGAUAGCUAAGACCGCAUAGGUACGGACACUGCAUGGUGACCGUAUUAAAAGUGCCUCAAAGCACUGGUAGAGGAUGGACUUAUGGCGCAUUAGCUGGUUGGCGGGGUAACGGCCCACCAAGGCGACGAUGCGUAGCCGACCUGAGAGGGUGACCGGCCACACUGGGACUGAGACACGGCCCGG